AUGUACCACGCAUACACUGCGGUUCUGAGCGCGCCGUCCGCGCCCGCCUGACGGCUGCUGCCUACGUUUUGUUAGCC
rnacentral:sRNA from 7 species